UCGCUCUGCUCGCAUUUGGCCACUGCUCUCCACCCCCUGGCACCCCCGCACCCGCUGGGCGUCAUCUCCCUCCCCUGUUAGCCUCACUGUGAAGUUUGGGGGCUGCAAGGAAAGAGCAGGAGCCUUGGCUCAGACCCGGCCUCUGCAGAGACUUUCUCACGGAAGGACACCCUUGCCCUUAGCUGGAUGGGACCUGGACCCAGACUGUCACGGCUCAGCCGCUGAAAGGCUUUGACCACUGAGAGCAGCAAGGAAGCGCCUAAGCGCUCCGUGGACCUGCACGCGCGCACGCGCACGUGCGCACACACCACCCGCUUGCCCCAGCUCCCCACUCACUGCGCAGAAGAGAAACUGGACCCGGAGAUAUCCCUAGCCAGCUCACUCUACCAGCCCUCACCAGCCUCCCCUGGAUUUGGCUUUUUCCAGUGAAAAAUGAGCCUGAAAGCCCUGGAGCCUUCUCGGUGAUUUACUGAGAACUUUACUUCCACAUGGGCUUUCCGGCUGCAGCCAACCCCAAGAGUCAGAGGGAGGAAGAGGGAGAAAAUCAUCUGGAUAGUAAGAUGAGAAACAGAUGUUUGGAGCCUUCCCAGACGGGGAAUUCUCCAUCUCGACCCCCUCUCUUCAUGAGAUUAGAAGGGCUUAGUCCCUGAGAGCAGACUCUUACUCUACCCGCGUUUCACCUCCCAUCCCCGCCCCACCAACUCCCACUCCAGCCCUCAAGGUCCAUCCUGGCGCCCUGCCACAGGGGUACCUAGCUUGCUGGGUCAUUUCUUCCUGAUUCUCACCCAAAUAAAUGACUGCUAGGUGAUCAGACCACAGACAGGUAUUCGACGUAAUCCAUUGCCAUCCAGGAGCUCAUAAACUAGAAAGGGAGACCAAGAUAUGAAUGGACCGUUCCAUGAGGGUAGGAUCUGUCUUAGGUCAGCGGUCAGCGCUGGACACUGUGCAAACAAACAGGAGGAGCUCUAAACCUUGCCUUGGGCUGGGUGAGCAGAGGAAUGUCAGAGAAUAUGUACACUGAGUUUGGAAGAUGUUUUUUAAUUGGAGGUGGAUAAAUGUCACUUUGGAGGUAUUAACUUGGUAAGCAUCAGUCAGUUCCUGUAUUUAUUCAAUGUAGCACAAUGGUUAAGGGCAACAUCUCUGAAACCUGAGUUUGAAACCCACAGAUAGGCAACUUAUUAUCACAUCGGACAAGUUAGUAAAUCUCUCUGCGCCUCAGCUUCUUAAUUUGUAAAGUGAGGCUAAUAAUACUAGUCCUGUAGGAAUUGUUACAAAGAAUAUGUGAAAUAAUAUUUAUAAAGUAUUUAGAGUAAUACUGGCACAUAGAAAAGAAACACUAUGUGUGUUUUUUAAUGAAAAAUUCAGAAGUAUUUUGAGCCUGCUGUAUAGCAGGUAAUGUGCAAGGCUUUCUGGAUACUUCAAUGAGUCAGAGUACCUCUUUCAGGAGAUCACAAAUGAGUGUGGUUGAAGAAUCAAUGAAUUAUUAUGCAAUAUUUUAGGUGAUAAGAUAGAAGUAUUGAUCAGAGGCACCUCAUCCUUUCCAUCCUCCUUAAUGAUCAAACCUGAAAUCUAGGAGCCAGGAGAGACCCUUCUCUUUUGCAUUCAAUCACCAUAUCCUGUAGCAUCUACUGAGUUAUGCUCCAUUGAAUCCUUCCCCUUUGUUCCUUUCCUGGUGUCAUUGCUUACUCUGGGCCCAUAUUCCCUGUCACACAGACAAGAGUAAAACCUGUCUUCAUUCCUCCAACCAUCUCCUUACAUCCACCAAGUCAGUUUCUUUUUUAUUGCAGUUGUAUUGAGAUAUGAUUGAUAUACAAAAAAACUGCACAUAUUUAAUAUAUACAAUGUGAUGAAUUUGGGCAUAUGCCUACACUUAAAUCUUUAAUUCAUUUUGAGUUGAUUUUUGUGCAUGGGGUGAGAUGGGGGUGGAUUUCAUCUUUUUGCACAUGAAUAUCCAGUUUUCCCAGCACCAUUUGUUGAUGAGACUAUCCUUUCCCCAUUGCAUGUUCUUGGCACCCUAGUCGAAGAUCUGUUAACUCUAAAUGCAUGGGUUAAUUUCCGGGCUCUCUAUUUUGUUCCAUUGGUCUAUAUCACAUGUCUUAGUGCCAGUACCAUACUGGUUUAAUUACAACUCUUUCUUACUGCUGCUAGAAUCAUAUUUUUUGGCACCCAAUUCCCUCAUAGCAUUCCUCAAUUCAAAAUUUCUUAAAGGAUCCCUCAUUGUCUAUAGAAAAAUAACCAAAUUUCUUACCGUAACAGAGCCUUUUGUGAUCUGAUUCUUCUUUCCCUAUCCAAUCACAUCUUUGGACCCUCUCAGCCCCUCAACUCAGGGACACAUUCUUCUGUGAAAUCACUGUGCUCUUUCUGUGGACGUGUUGCCCCCUGUAUUAGGAAUGGUUUGAACAUUUUCUCUGUCCUGUCCAUCCAGCUCAUUCCUCCCACUUUACUAAGGAGUUCAAGCCACACCUCCUCUGUAACAACUUAUCUGAUUUCUCUGGGUUCCCCAUUAUGAAAAACCCUGGAAACCUAUCUACACGAUGAUGAGGAGAAUUGGAGGGAUUGGAACAUAGCACCUCUUUUUCCUGCUUUUUCCUUUUUUUUUUUUUUUUUUGUAGUUCUGAAAUAAAUAGGGAUGAAGUCAAAAAAAAGACAGCAGACAGAACAGGAUACUAAAAUAAUACUCUUGUUACUGAUAAGACUGACUUAAUAGUGAGGAGCUUGUACCUAUGGAUAAAUGGACAAAGGAGCUUCCUAAAGACCCAGAUUUCAGGUAAUUUACCUUCUGAGGCACAGGUUCAGAUGCACAGAGUCCGACUUCCCCAAUGGAAGAUUUAUGGCAUGAGCUAACAGAAAAUAACAUGAAUCUCCUAUGAGCAGGACUAAUUUCUUCUUUCGAAAUUCACUGAUGAAAUAUAUCACACCUUGGAGCAGAGCAAGCAAAGAUGAGAGCAAGGCUGGGCAUAUUAGGCUAAUGGAACUCCUUCCACAUUAAAGGAAACACCAGGAGUAGAGAAGAUAAUUGCCCAUCCCUCCUGCUAUGCACACGUUAUAACUCUCAAACGUGCUAUAGGCUGCUUUUCUCUUCUCCAGGAGAGUAAAAGAUUCUUGUAGUCAAGAAACAUGCCUUUUCAUCCUAUACUUUCAACCUGAACAAGUCAAAUGCUCAUACUUGGCACCAAGUAUGUGUUCAAACUACCAUUUAUUAAAUGAUGCUGAAGGGGUAGCUGUAUCAGCAGGAGGGGAAAAGAAGGAAAAACCAGGGAGGAGAAGACUUCAUAGAAGAGGAGAUACUUGAGGUGGACUUUGGCAAAUGAGUAGACAUUAAUGACACAGAAAAGCCAAAGGCAACAGUUGCACCAAUCCAGAGGCAUGAGACUGUGCAGCAAAUUCUAGAUGGAAAAAAAAAAAUCUUUCACAAAUAUAGUAUAGAAUGUGGGAAAUGAGUCAGGAAGGAGGCAGUUCUCUACCCUGGGUUACUUAAUAGAAAUAUCUAAAUACCCAGCAGCCUAAAGAGUGACUCUCUCCUUGAGUUGUUUUUCUUUUAGUUUAUUUGUUUUGGGUUGAAUUUUGGUCAUUAGUGGAGUAAGGGCAUUAUAAACCAUAGGGAAGUCUCCUCUAGACCUACCCACUUACUUUUUCCAAUUCAAAACCAACACUUCUAAGGGUACCAAGAGUCUCUGAGCUCACAUCUGGGAAAACGCAAGUACACUGAUGUCAAGCCAGUAGUGACAUGAAGCAACGGGGAGCUGGCGUCAGGGGGAUUACAUGCUGUAUGUCUAGAUGAUGAAAAAUGGGCAUCUGACAAGACUGCUAAUGGCUGGUGCUGUGAUUUUUCUAUUUAAAUGAAAGCCAGGAAUAUGGGAUAAUGUGUCCUUUCUUUGCGUUUUCAGGAACUUUUGUUCAUGAAAUAAUUACAUGAAAAUUUCUAGCAUAAUAUUAAGCUUUAUGUACUACUAAGGAAGCCCAUAUUUGAACUUAAAUUUCAUCACUCGUGAACCUUGGUUCCCAAAUUCUGAUUUCAGAUAACACUUAAAGCUCUCUCCAUGAUGUUUCCAUGAUUCAUGUAGAGGUUAACUAUAGAGUUUUCCUCCUAGCCCCUCUUUUCUGGGAACAACACCUCCCCACCCAUAGGGCCUGAUAACCUUUCAUGUUUCUGCCGUGUGACCCUGACCCCUGGCUGUAUGUAACUGGUUCAGAAAUAGAAACAUGACCCACUCAGAGAAUUUGCCAUUGGGACAAAAGAAAUCAUCUAUCCUUGUAUGUGCCUUCAAUUGUAAAAUCUGUCCUUGGAAGCUGAGGAUCUGCCUGUCAUGGUCUUCACGUGGACUGAAUAGCAGAGAUAGAUGGUGGGCAGGUAGGAAAGAAAGAUGCAUCUGUGUGGAGCAAACACCUUGGCAAAAAAUCAGGCAGAGCAAAGAGAGAAAAGGAGUCAUUCAGGCUGAUAUUUCCAUCUGGGGCCAUGGCUAUGGUUCUAAUCGUAGACUAGAAGAGCAGUUAGGCAGGGGCUGUAGAUAUUGAAAAUCAUUAGUACAAAAGUACUGAAUGAAACUCUGAAAGCUGGUGAGUUCCCUGAGAGGGUGCACUCCCUGAGUGCUGAGCCCAGGCCCUCGUGGCCAUGAAAAAGGAGGGGCAGAAGAAAAAGAGAUUCUGGUAAAGGACUACAGGAAGGAGUUAAAGACACAGGAGACAUGCUCCACUUUAGGCGAAAGACAUAACAUUAGAUUCUCUCUCUCCAAUAUUUUAUUUACUUAGGCUGAAUGUUACAGUUGCAAAACUUGGAUGUAGAGAAACAGAGAAGAAAAUAGUUAAUCUGAUUUAGAAUGCGUUGUUUAGGAGUUCCUGUCAUGGUUCAGUGGUUAAUGAACCCAAUUAGUAUCCGUGAGGAUGUGGGUUUGAUCCCUCACCCCACUCAGUGGGUUAAGGAUCCAGCGUUGCCAUGAGCUGUGGUGUAGGUUGCAGACACGGCUCGGAUUGCUCGUUGCUGUGGCUGUGGUGUAGGCCGGUAGCUCCAGCUCCGAUUCAACCCCUAGCCUGGGAACUUCCACAUGGCCCAGGUGCAGCC
rnacentral:lncRNA from 1 species